UCCCCAAAAGCUAGCCCACCCACAAAAUACAACAAACAUCAUUAAUAGACCAAAAAGCACUUAAACUACUUAAAUAAACCAUUUUUCCCCUCUAGUAUGGGAGACAGAAAAAGAGAUAUAGGAGCCAUAGAAAAAGUACCGCAAGGGAAAGCUGAAAGAGAACUGAAAAAACCCAGUUAAAGGAAACAAAAGCAGAGUUUUGACCUCGUACCUUUUGCAUCAUGAUUUAGCGAGCACACCCAAGCAAAGAGCCCUUUAGUUUGGUCCCCCGAAACUAGACGAGCUACUCCGAGACAGCCUAUUAAAGGGCGAACCCGUCUCUGUGGCAAAAGAGUGGGAAGAGCUCCGAGUAGAGGUGACAAACCUACCGAGCCUAGUUAUAGCUGGUUGCCUGGGAACUGAAUAUUAGUUCAGCCUUUUGAAGCCCUUAACCAAAAAAGAUAAAAACCGACCCCGGAUAGAGGACAGUCAAAAGAGUUAUUCAAGAGAGGGACAGCUCUCCUGAAAAAAGAUACAACUUUAAAAGAAGGUAAAGGAUCAAACAUUUCAAGAAAAACACCUAAGUGGGCCUAAAAGCAGCCACCCUGAAAGAAAGCGUUAAAGCUCAAGUGUAUAAACUCAACAAUUCCGAUAAAAACGUCCUAUGCCCCUUGCCCUACCAGGCCCACCCAUGCACCCAUGGGUAAGACAAUGCUAAAAUGAGUAAUAAAAGAGCUAAGACUCUUUCAAAAGCAUCCGUGUACAUCAAAACGAACAAGUCAUUGAAAAUUAACGCUCCCAAAACAGAGAGGGCAUUGAGCCAAAACCUCCAAAAACAAGAAAAUCCCCCAAGAAUAAAGCGUUAACCCUACACAGGAAUGCCUAACGAAAGACAAAAAGAAAAAGAAGGAACUCGGCAAACACUAGCCUCGCCUGUUUACCAAAAACAUCGCCUCUUGCCCCCCACAGUAUAAGAGGUCCCGCCUGCCCUGUGACAAAAGUUUAACGGCCGCGGUAUUUUGACCGUGCGAAGGUAGCGUAAUCACUUGUCUUUUAAAUAGAGACCUGUAUGAAUGGCACAACGAGGGCUAAGCUGUCUCCUUUUUCUAGUCAAUGAAAUUGAUCUCCCCGUGCAGAAGCGGGGAUAUUUACAUAAGACGAGAAGACCCUAUGGAGCUUAAGACACCAGAAUAGACUAAGUUACUAACCCCCAUUAAAAGGAAUAAACAAAGAAGUCUCUAUUCCCCUGUCUUCGGUUGGGGCGACCGCGGGGAAAAAACAAACCCCCACGUGGAACGGGCCAACACCCCUAAAGCUAGAGCCACAGCUCUGUCAAACAGAAUAUCUGACCAACAAUGAUCCGGCAUGGCCGAUCAACGGAUCAGUUACCCUAGGGAUAACAGCGCAAUCCUCUUCUAGAGCCCAUAUCGACAAGAGGGUUUACGACCUCGAUGUUGGAUCAGGACUUCCUAAUGGUGCAGCCGCUAUUAAGGGUUC
rnacentral:rRNA from 1 species